CUUCCCAUCUCACUGACUCCUUCUGUCUCUCUCUCUGGAAUUUCAUAGGAAUGACAAUGGCCUCAAAAUCCCAGCAAAUGAAUAAACGACACUGCCCAUGACGGGGAGGACCAUCAUGAACAACGCCUUUCAGAGACCAUCACAAAAGUUGCUACCUCCUACGACAGCUGACACACGACAGGACAGGACACUGAAUAUCCUCAAUCAAUAUUCAUCAAAUAAUGAAUGCGUCAGUGAAAAAAAGGAAGAAGGGGAACUCCAUCUGACAAUGGACACCUCUACGGGGAUCUUCUAGCUGGUGAUGAUUAUGUUGUAGGUGCCCAUGAUGGUUUUAAUCAGCGGAUAUUGUUUUGAAAACAAAAAACAGGAUUCAGUGUCCUCUCUCCCCAUUGGGAUAAACUGUCAUGACAAUGCCAUUGCCAUUACAAAUGCCAUCCCCAAUACAGGACGUGACGCAUAACCAAUACUAACACAUGCCAUUUGAAGCUUUAACAAGACAGUCCUCCUUCAAAUUUAUAACAGCCUAUGUUUAAAAACCUGA